GUCUUUUCUCAUCUUUUUUGUAAAUACAUUGUGCUUUCCACUGUAGAUGCAAGUAUGGCUUGGCUUCCUUUCACUAUCCGUUUCUUUUUCUUGGACACUGUCGUUUCAGAGGUUUGGCACAAGCAAAGCUCCUGUUAAAGUCAGAGCAGCUGCAGGAGGAGUGAUAGUAAAGCAAAGAAUGGAUCUACCAUUUCCACUGUGAUAAGCCCUAAAGGUAUCCCAGCAACAGUAUAUUAUGAGCAGUUCCGAACAUAAAGCAAAGAAUUUUGACGUGGCUUCUUUUGAAUGAGCUUUUUAGACUCAAUAGCUAUACAAAAGGCCUGCUCCCUAUGGGGAUGAAAACAGCUAGAAGUAUUUUGUUGCUAUGAAUCAAUGCAUCUGCUUGUAUUUUAUUUUAUUCUUCCUAUGGUUAUGGCUAUAGACAACAUCAUGAUGAGUGCCUGCUCACUGCUUUCCAAAUUACAGAGAGUAAUAGUACAUUGUUGUUGCUGUUGUUGUUGAUGUUGUUCUUAUUCUUGUUAUUUGCUAUCAGGUUGACUUUGAUGUACAGAAACUCUAUGAAUCAGUCAUCAGCUGCCCUUCUCAGGUCUUGUAAACUCAGGGCCAUGGCUUCCUGGAUCGAAUCAACCCACCUGUAGUGCAGCCUCAUGUGGCCUUUUCUGUGGUUGCCCCUAGGCUUUGGAACUCCCUGCCCAGGGAGGCCAGAAUGGCCCCUUCCUUGAUGGCCUUCCGCCAACAGAUGAAGACCUUCCUCUUCAAGCAUCCCCGACAGAUGGCCAUCCAGCCUCUGUUUAAAGAUCUCUAAGGAAGGAGACUGCAUUGCGCUACGGUCAUUUUAAUUACUGUAUACAGGAUUUCAGAUCUAGCAUGGUAUAUUUUGAGCAUAGGACUAGAACUCUUGAUAUUGGAGUUUGAUUCUCUGAUGGGCCAAGGAAACCUGCUGGGUGUUGUUGGACAAGUCACACAUUCUCAGCCCCAGAAAACCCCGUGAUAGGUGAGCCUUGGGGUCACCAUAACUCGGAAAUGUCUUGAAAGGCACACAGCAACAAAAACAAAGUAGCAUUUAAAAUUAGUUAUUUAAAACUAGCUAUUGAAAAACCACUGUUGGCCAUUCCUCAGUCUGUAGAAUGUGUAUGGAAUAGAUGGUGAGUUCCACAACUUAUUUUCAUAAAGCAGUAAAAAACAUAAUGUUUGGAGUAGGCCUAUUCAUCAUGGUGGGAGCUACUUUUUUUAGCCCCUGUUUUCCAAAAAAGUUAACAGCAAAAACUAAUGUCAUGCUUGUGGAGAGAUAUUACAGAAAUGAGGAUGAACACUUAGCCCCUUGCAGGAUUAAGGCCCAUGUUUAAUCUGAAGGACUUGAAAUCUAUGUCAAAUGGUAUCAGGUGCCAACUGGCAUCAAAUAGUUUCUCUUAAGAGAUGUAUUUAUUUAUUAACUGGCUCUGAGAAAAUUUCUUUUAGAUGAUGAUUUAAAGCAUUUCCUGAGAAUGUUGUGAAGAUGGAGAGGUACAUCAGACUGGAAAGAUAGCCAUAAAAAGCUAGAUAAGUAGCAUUCCGCACACCUCUUUAUCCUCUGCAUCAUCCUCUAUAGAGGAUUAGCUAUGCUGAAUAAGCAUUAGAGCUUUAAUGACAAACAGUUGCUUUGUCUAAUGAUACAUUUCUUGUUUCUGCAUGAUGAAGCCAUUCACCAGCUUGGUCCUGCUCAGCUUGCUUUUCGCCAUCCAAAGUGAAGCGCUGCAAUGCUAUACAUGUGUAGGCACAAGUGAUGAAGAAUGUAACAGACAAGGAACAGAGCAAUGUCCAGGCUAUUCUGAUGCAUGCGCAAUCAUCAGAGGACAGACAGGUGGCAUUAUGAAGUCUUGUUCCUACAAGUCGUUCUGUGAACGGGCACGGAGGGAAGGUUCCCGUGCACCAGGAGUACGUGUUCACUGCUGCUACUCAAACAACUGCAAUGCCAAAGGCCUGGGCUCAAGAAACAUUCUCUCUACCAGCUCCCUCUGUCUACUUUUCUCUGCCAUCCUCUGGCAGUUGUUUUUUUAACGCAGAGUGAAACAUGAACUGGGUAGGAUGGAGCAAAAGCUGUUAAACCUGAGCUUAUAAAGUGUAAUUUGAAACAAUCUGGGUGAGGGUAGAUCAAACUUUCUUGUGAACAUAGCACAGAAAUCAGUGCCAUCAGAUGUUGGUGAGGAGCGGGGUGAAAAAAGUACAUCUGCAUGCUGAAAAUAAUUAUAAGCUUCUGUGUCUGCAUACAGGGAUUUAAGUGACUGACAAAUGACAUUGUACGGUUGGCUUCUCAUAAAGCCUGUACUGUUCACUAAAUGAAAAAAUGUGAUCAAAUUAAGGACCCUUCCAAAUUGGUCUCUUAAGAAGUAGGUAUUCUCCCGUGGUAUCAUCUUGAGUUUUUUCCAGUUGUACUGGCUGUUGUCACCUCUGCACCUGUUUAAUGUGCCCCAUUGGGGGGACCAUAUGUAGUGGGGAAUUCUAAGGCAAUGCUAUGACAUGAAAGACAAAUUUUCUCCUCUCUUAAUUUUCAAUUUUCUUCUUAGAUUUAUAGUGUUUUAGUGCAAAAGAGCCAUUUCAUUGUUACAAUAUAAAUCUAAAAAAAAAUUAAAAAGAGGGAGGGGAAGAGUUUUUUGUUAAGUUAUGUCUUGGAAUUAGAAAGAAAACCACUUAAGGAUGGGUUUGUUGCAGGAAUGGCCAGAAAAUGGUCUGGUACAACAGAAACAUUGUUUGGUUAUUUUUUUCUAAAGAAAAGACAACUAUAACAAGAAAUGCUGCAAACUCCAGCAAACUCCUGACACACAUCUCCAUCUGGAGGAGUCCUAAGAAAAUGAAGACCUGUUAAUUCAAACAAAAAUGUUGAUGUGUUAAUGCAAGUCAUGAAUGGGAAGUGAGAAUGGACUGAUUAGUCCCAUCCUUGACAUAUGUGUCUGUACCUCAAACAUCUGCAUUGAGGAAGCCAUUGUGCAUCUAGAUUAGGAUGGGUAACUGCAUGGGUGCCAAGGGCUAAUUCCCCACACUACCCCUUUGUGGGAUGUACCUUCCUAGCACACCAAAAUACCUCCGUUUUUAUUCAGUCCCUCUCAGAUUGAUGAGCAGAUGUGGUGUCUUGUCACUUCCUGUCACCUUUUUGAAAAGUUCUCCAGUGAAACUGGAGGAACUGAGAGGGGGAGUGUGUGUUAUUGUAGGGUUUGAUGGAUUUCUGUAUAGUUUGAGGGCAAAAGUCAUCUGAAAAUGACACUAAAAUUGUUUUAAAGGGGGACUUGUGAUAGGUUUCAGGGCCACAAAAGUGGAAUCCAUGAGCCACAUGUGAUCCACAGGCCAUACCUUCCCCUCAACCCUAAUCUAGAUUCGAGUUGCAUGCAUGAAAGCAUCCAUGUAAUCUGGAACCUACACAGUCCAGAUUUCAAUGCUGGACAAAUGCUUUCAGCUGUGUGCAUAAAGACUUCUGUGCUGUAGACAUUUGUGCUCUAAGUGUGGACAAAGAGGAGCAGGGGAAGCCAGUUCAUUAUGUUUCAGGGAGGAUUAGCAAGCAAUCCAAUAAUUUAGAAGAUAAAUUAGAGCUGGAUUAUUUAGUUAUGUAUCUUGGUUUCACAGUGUACGGUUCUGCAACUUUGGCAUAGUUCUGCAUAACUAACAGCACAGUAUUUAGAGUGUUGUUAAUUCAGGAAUUUGGAAAUGAUCUUCUUGUACUGAGUGUGUUUCAUUACAAACAUAGUUGAGGAAGAAGUAUCGUUUUGUGUACGAUAGUACCUGCAGUUGUAGCCGCAAAACAAGAUUAAGUAAUCAUACCAUUUCCAGAUGAUAGAUUUAGGUUGCAGUCCUUUCCCAGAGUAAGGUGGUAUAAGUCUUACUGAACUCAAAGGGACUUUCAUAUGAGUAGAGACAAGGUAGUGUUCUUAAUUCCCAUCUUAAAUUCCCAUCUUAAGUUUAACCUACAUAACCAUCAACUUAACCUGAUGUUCCUAACUAUCCAUGUUUGAAUAAGAUAAUUACUUUCAAGGUCUUCCUAAUCAAAUUCAUUUCAGCAAGACAGUCUGCUUAUCGAAAUGUCCUGUGCAUCAGUCAUAUAAACAGUGGAUACUUAUGUCAUGAAUAAACUGCAGUUUUCCUAAGCCCACAUCAGUAUACCCAGUUGUAAUGGAUGAUGGCAUUUGCAGUUCAGCAAUAUCUGGAAAGAUAUAUGUUGCCCACCUCUGCCUGCAAAUUCAUAUACAAUAUGAAAUUCAGCCUGAUCUUCCAAACAAGCUGGUUUUUAGGCAUUUGUACAGGAUGAGUCUCCCUUAUCCAAAAUGCUUUGGCCCAGAAGUGUUUUGUAUUUCAGAUUUCAGAAUAUGUGCAUAUACAUAAUGACAGUUUAGAUUUACACUGUGAAGACUGAUUCAUGGGAGCAAUCUCAGUCAAAACCUAAUAUGGAUUACACAAAUUACAUUUGCCAAAGCACAAGUCCCACUCAGAAAAAGCAUGUAUAUUUUAUAUCAGGUUUCAUGAGACCAUUUGGGCCUCUAGAUGUUCUCUCUUAUAGUUUGUUAUUAUUAGCCUUGCUGGGCGAGGCAGAUGGAAGCUGUAUUGCUAAACAUUUGAAAGGACAAAGAUUCCCCAUUCCUGCUUUACAGAUUCUAGGAGGCUGCCAGGGCUGGAUUAACCAUUAAGCAAAAUAAGCACAUGCUUAAGGCAUCAAGGGAAGGAGAGCACCAUAGAAAUUUUCCAUUGUUGGACUUACCAUGGACCAUAUAGUGCACAACUGAAAAGGUUCAGCUGAACCAGGUUCCAAACAAAAAAGGUUUCCACAAUAAAUGGAAUAUACACACGCACAUAAUAAUAAUAAUAAUAAUAAUAAUGAUGAUGAUGAUGAUGAUGAUAACAACAACAACAAAAAAUAAUACAAUAGUAACAGAGGUUAAUGAUAUACAUUAAUCUUGAGAAUACAACAAAAUUAGAAUUUGGUAAUCCAUUUUAUCAUAGACUGGUUCAUUUCAAAAAAAUAAAUUUUUAUUUUACAGUUUACUAUUGUUUAUAUUUUGAGUUAGAUAUAUAUGGGGGCACCAAAAUCUUUUAAGUGAUUACGACCUCUGCAUGGUUUAAUCCAGCCCUGGAAGCUUCAAGCUUCUUCAAGCCUCUUUCUUUCUCAAGUAUGUUGCAGAAUGUUAAUAGGUUAUUCUGGAUUAAGAAGAAACAAAAUACAAUGGAUCCUUGUUAUCUGCUGGGGUUUGAUUCCAGGA